AUUUUGGUGGCUGAAAUAUAGGCGAUAGAUUGUAAAUCUAUUUAUGACAUUUGUCCCAAAACU
rnacentral:tRNA from 1 species